UGAGGAGGAGGAGGAGGAGGAGGAGGAUGGGGGGCGGUGUAAGGGUGAGUGAUUUCCUUCCGGCACGUCGCCCGCUCGGGGGGAGGGGGCGGGGGGUUUCACUUCCGGGACGGUGUUCCGGCCCAUUCCGGCCCAUUUCCACCCCCGGAGGGCUGAAAGCCUGUUCCAUCAGGCACAACAUGGAGAAAAGUGGGAACAUACAAUUGGAGAUCCCUGACUUUAGCAACUCAGUCCUGAGCCACCUCAACCAGCUGCGCAUGCAGGGGCGUCUCUGUGAUAUUGUGGUCAAUGUGCAAGGACAGGCUUUUCGGGCUCAUAAAGUUGUGUUGGCUGCCAGCUCGCCCUAUUUCCGGGACCAUAUGUCCUUGAAUGAGAUGAGCACUGUGUCUAUAUCGGUCAUCAAGAAUCCAACUGUUUUUGAGCAGCUCCUUUCGUUCUGUUACACUGGGAGGAUCUGUCUACAAUUGGCAGAUAUCAUCAGCUACCUUACGGCUGCCAGUUUCCUACAGAUGCAGCACAUCAUAGACAAAUGCACACAGAUCCUGGAGGGCAUACAUUUCAAAAUUAAUGUAGCAGAAGUUGAGGCAGAAUUAGGACAAACAAGGACAAAGCAUCAGGAGAGACCCCCAGAAUCUCACAGAGUCACUCCCAAUCUAAACCGCCCCCUCAGCCCACGUCACAAUACACCAAAGGGGAGCCGAAGAGGCCAAGUUAGCACGGUGCUGGACAUCAGGGAGCUAAGUCCCCCCGAAGAAUCAACCAGCCCCCAGAUAAUUGAGCAGAGUUCUGACGUGGAAAGCCGGGAGCCCAUUCUUCGGAUUAACCGAGCAGGACAGUGGUACGUGGAGACGGGGGUAGCCGACCGGGGGGGUCGGGGCGAUGACGAGGUGAGAGUUCUGGGAGGAGUUCGGAUCAAAACUGAGAAUCUGGAAGAGUGGCUUGGGACAGAGAAUCAGCCCUCCGGAGAAGAUGGAAGUAGUGCCGAGGAGGUUGCCGCCAUGGUGAUUGACACCACAGGCCACGGGUCUGGAGCACAAGAGGGUUAUGGCUUGGGGUCUUCGGCACCCAAGGCCACUCGGCCAACCAGCAGUGAAAUGGACAGAUUUAGCCCUUCUGGCAGUGUUGUCACCCUGACUGAGCGACACCGAGCCCGCAGUGAAUCUCCUGGGAGAAUGGAUGAGCCUAAGCAACCCAAUUCCCAGGUUGAAGAGUCAGCAAUGAUUGGAGUAAGUGGCUAUGUGGAAUAUCUUCGUGAACAAGAAGUGUCUGAGAGGUGGUUCCGAUACAAUCCCCGUCUCACCUGUAUCUACUGCGCCAAAUCCUUCAACCAGAAAGGUAGCCUGGACCGCCAUAUGCGCCUCCACAUGGGAAUCACACCUUUUGUCUGCCGAAUGUGUGGCAAGAAGUACACCCGCAAAGAUCAGCUGGAGUAUCACAUCCGCAAGCACACGGGCAACAAACCCUUCCACUGUCAUGUCUGUGGCAAAAGCUUCCCCUUCCAGGCCAUCCUGAACCAGCACUUUCGCAAGAACCACCCAGGCUGCAUGCCCCUCGAGGGACCUCACAGCAUCUCCCCUGAAACAACAGUCACAUCCCGGGGACAGGCUGAGGAAGAGUCACCCCCACAGGAAGAGACAGUUGCCACUGGGGAGACUGCACAGGGUUCUGUAUCCACCACUGGGCCUGAUUGAAAGAUAGCAGAGGAGGGGGGAGGUCCUCUGCCCCCUUCUGGGCCAUAAGCAGCCAGCAUCUGGGCCAAGGGCCAGUUCUUGGAUUUACAAAAUGCCACAUCACUAGACAGGAAGAAGCUCCCAAGAUGUUGCCAAACUAGAGGAUUAACAAAGUACAGGAAAACACUCAAGGCUCUUCCCUUCCCUUCCCCCACUUCACACCUCAGAAAAUAAUUAAGCAAAACAGCUUUCUGAUUCAGGGAUCAACAGCUUUGGUUUGUUAAGUUUUUUAAGAAAAGUUUUUUAAGAAAAUCCAGGAUAAACUGUCAUUUAGUUACCAACCAUGGUUUCAACUCUGUGAAUUGGUCCAGGUGACUAACCUUGGUGGCUGUAAUGUCCCAGCUCCAAUAAGCACAGCAUUCAGACCUCUGUCAUCUGGAUCAGCUGCAGGAGAGGAGGAGGAGGUGGUAAGAACAGGCCCUUGCUCCUCUACCUCCCCUGCCAAUCAAUACUGUUUCCACAGUCAAAGAAAAAGAAUAGUUCUGGUGGUCCUUAUUACUCUCAAGUUUCUUUUCACAGAAUGUGAUUGGGGGCUUUCUGUUUGCCCCAGUUAGGCAACUGGCUUCUUGCCUGAUUGUGUCAUGUAGGCAACCUCUUGCAGCAGUAUCCUAAUAGGCAAUACAACUGUAAGCACCAUAAGAUACCAAAAGUUAAGCUAGUAACUAUGAGGUUUGCAUUAUUCAAUACUUCAUUGGGGGAUUAGGUGUGUGGUGAGGGAGACAGGGAGGAGCGGGAAACUGUGGGUGUCUGCACAUGUGGACUGGCACAGGACCACAUUGCAGCUUCUUGAUGGGGAGGCCACAUCUCUAAGCAUUUAGGCAGUGGUUCUGGCCCAGAUGGAUUAAUGAGCUGAAGGCUGACCACCAAAGUCUUGUCAAGCCUCUUUGGCUCCUGGUCUUAUAUAACAGCAAUAUUGUACAUCAGAAAUGUCACUUCCCGGUGGAAAUGAUUCUGGGUCGUGUUUUUUAAAUCCAUUUAUCUUCAUGUUUGAUAAAUUUUAUAUGAAGUUUUAAAAGAAUUUUUUGUUACAACAACAUUGUGGUUCAGGAAAUAUAAAGCUAUUAUUCCUAUUGCAACCGUAAUUCACCUCCCUCCUACAAAUAUAAUGGCUUAUAUUUCCUGCUCAUUUGAAGAACCUCACUAAUUCCUAUGUCUUCAGUCUGCCAAUUCACAAAAACCCUCAGCAAAUUAGUGUUCAUUUGAGAAUAUUGCUUUUUAAAUAGUACACAACGGGACACUUACCACAGAGCAUCAUCAUGAGCACCCAGAAUGAACUCCCAUUUGUUGAAACAAAUGAACAGAGGAUCAGUUUGGAUCAUCUUUGUUCUCUUGGUCGUUUUCAAGAUUUAGCAAUAUUCACAGGGUCUCUGGCACUUUUAGGUAUUAAUGAGGUUCUCUCAAGUUGAAAAUCAUGGAGAGGAGUAACUAGACCUGCAUAUACCCUGCCCUGAAGGGGGAAAGGGAAGAAUGGGGCUUGUGCUUAUAGUAGGAUUUUUUUUUGAAUACUAAGGUAUGCAGGUAAGUAGUAGGAAACUGCUUUCAGACACAAGUGCAAAUAGAAAAAUCUCUGUCCUCCCUCAUUGUUGAAAUGAUUACUGGCUUUUUGUUGAGUUUUACUUUGAAGUAUUUAAAAUCUGCAGUGGCUUUAGAGAUUGCUUUGGUGCAGAGGUAUGUGAAAGUGAAAAAAUAACUUACUGGGUGUUAGUCAUACUAGUGAUGGUGAACUUAUUGUGAGCACACUGGUCAGGUCCUCCUCCCCCUCCAAGAAUAUUUUGUGAUCUAUGGAAAAGUGGGCAAAGAAGGAUAUUUUUCUGAAAACAAGAAGUUGGAGUGCAAGGGUGGCUAUUAAAAAGCAAAUUAAGUUUGUUAUUGAAUUAUUAGUGCCCUAUUGUAUUCCUUCUCCCAAAAGAGGUCUUUGAAUUUUUUGGAGGGGCUCAGGAAGACACAGUUUCUUUAAGUGGUGUGAUGCUUUUGUGUAAUGAGAGCCUACCUAUAAAAGGGAGAACUUGCUUCAUAGAUUGCUCAUGAGCAGGUUGUUCCUUUUCAGGAGCUACAUUUUGUUUUUAGAACCAUCUCACUGGGGCAGCAACAUAAUAUGAUGAGACUUGUCUUGAGUGGCUUUCUGAGGACUAUCAGUGUUCCAUGGCCAGGAGUUCAGGUUAGACCAGGACCUUUAGAGAAGUAUUUAAUUAGUUACUGAAAUUAAGAGGUGUUUAGACAAAUUUUGCCAUAUUUGAAUGGGAAGAAAAAGGGGGAGAAGUCCAGAAGAUGCUGCUUUAGACAUAGCUUUUAAAAUUACCAAAAAGAAGGAAGAAGAAAAUGCAAGUCUACUCUGCUCAUAAGAGAAAGUAUGCCGGGAAAUUCUUUGUUGCUUUGUUAGUUACUUAGAUAUGAGAAAGUAUAACUUUUAUAGCCCUACCAAACUGUAAUGAUGAAGUUAAAUGCUAUAAAAGAAAAAAUUCUCCUAGUCAAGGUCAUUAAUUCCAACUAGAUAUAGCAACAAAGGACUCCAAUGAAGUCUGGACACCAUUAUUCAUAUACAAGGACCAUGAGUGUGUAGUGAAGGUUAGUCUUUUUUUUCCCUUUAUUUAAUUUUUCAUAGGUUUUUGCUGUAUUAAUACUGUGAAUAGAAGAAAUCCCAAUUAUCCAGGUUCUAUCAGCACAAUUCUCUGUGCUGUUCUUUCCUUUUAAUUGGCCUAUCCAGAAUCACAACACUCAUAAAAUCCUUGCUUAACCUAGUUUAAUAUAAACUAAGGCUUGGGAAAGCAGUUUUUUCACCUUUCCUUAGAAAAGAUUGACUCUAUAACUGCCCAAAAUUCUUAUUCAGGUCUCACUGUGACAUUGCCCUAGUUUAUUGUUAAAAUCUCUGUAAUAGAGAUUAGUAAUAUUCUUUCUACAUUUGCCGAAUGUGGCUAGGUGGGUGUGGGGUAUAGGGAUAGACACUGCCUCUUAACUAUGUUCAAAAAUGAACUUUUUAUGUGACUUAAUUUGAACUGAACCAUCAACAGCCAAAUUUUAACUUUCAAAUAUAUUCCCUAGGAAAAUAAAACUGGGUUAGCACUAAGGGCUAAAUAUUUACUUAAAGAACAUGUAGCUGAUAUUAAUGUAACUAUGUUAGUUUGUAUAAAAUGAAGGGCACUAGUAGGAUCUCAUUUCGUGUUCAGUAAGUGGUACUUAGCAAGGAAGCUGCCUCUGUUCUCAGCAAGAAAACAAAGACGGCAACUGGCAUCUUUUUAUAUUCUGAAAUGGAACUUUCAUUCUACCAAACUCUUACCCAUCACCUGAAUGAAAGUAUAAAUUUAUUAUCUACAUGUAUAAUUAUAUUAUAAUUGGGCACAGACUAAUGCUUUAUUCUUUCUCUACUCAAAAGAUUCUUUCUAAUGUUUUGUUUUCUCUUUACUCAGAACCAUAUUUACCUCUGACCUCAGUUGAAUUUAUCAUGUCUUGAGUUUCAUUUCGUGUACAUCAUAAACCUUCCAAGACCAACUCAUCAAAGGGAUUGGUAUAUUAAAGAUAGCUCCUGCAAAGGAAUAAUGGUAAGUUUGAUUAUUUUCUUAUUAUCUAUCUUUUUUCCUAAGUAUAUGUUUAUAAAUAUAUUUACUCAUCUACUGUGAUCUUGGUAACAGAAUAAUUUCAUUUAAUUGUGUCAAAGAUUCUAAAAUUCUAAUUCCAGACAAAGAGAGCUUUUUAUUGCUUUGGUUGUAUUUCGGCCAAGAAAAUGUUUCUUUGCACUUUCUAUUUAUAAAAAAGCUAUAUAGCACAGUGUAGCCACUUAAUACAGUUAGUUGUUCCCUUGACAUAAGAUAUAGGUGUUAAAGUAAGGUGCAUGUUAAAAAUGAGGGGAAGUAGGAAAAGGACUUUAGUUGAAUGUGGCCUGAAUCUACCUGGGAGGGGAUCGGGAGUAAUACAAAAGUUAGGCUAUGAAAAACUCUAGGGAUUGCUCUAAUAGGGCUGUGAGAUAGCCAGCCAACCCUGUAGGAUGUGUGGGUAUGGGUGCUUUAGUGUGUCUGUGUAAGAGAGGUGUUUGUCUGAGGCAGAGAAGUAACUGCAGAUUCUUCUACCUCCCAUUCAAAACUAAGCAUGUGUCCAGUUGUCCAGUCACCCCAGGGAGGGGAGGCUGGAUGUGUUAGCCACAGCUUUAGCCCGUCUACCUCCAAGCACUAACCGAAGGGAAUGUGCUGAUCCAGGAGCUAAGAAGAACCAGGCCCACCUUGGACAGGCUGAAAGGUCUGACAUUUUUUUUACCAGGCUUAUGUAUUUAAAGUCUUUUAUUAAUCUUCUGAAUUAAAUCCACUUCAAAACACUUGAAAAACUGAUUUAAUAUUUUAUCUAUAGGCUUUUAUUUGGCAAGAGUAGCCAGUAGAAUCACUUUUUUAAAGAGGAAUAGAAUAGGAUAAUCCCAAAAGUCUAUUCAGAUCCAAAAUUCUUGCUUUAACUACUGUUUGUGAAGCGUUAGGAGGGUAGCACCCUCUUGAAUUGUUAGUAUGGAUGCUUCCAUCUGUAUGGGGAGUUAGGAGUGAAUGUGGAUGCUUCCAUCUCUGUGGGGAGUUAGGAGCGAGUGUGGAUGCUUCUAUCUAUAUGGGGAGUUAGGGAGUGAUUGUGGAUGCUUCCAUCUCUGUGGGGAGUUAGGAGCAAGUGUGGGUAUUUCUAUCUAUAUGAGGAGUUAGGGAGUGAGUGUGGAUGCUUCCAUCUCUGUGGGGAGUUAGGAGCGAGUGUGGAUGCUUCUAUCUAUAUGAGGAGUUAGGGAGUGAGUGUGGAUGCUUCCAUCUCUGUGGGGAGUUAGGAGCGAGUGUGGAUGCUUCUAUCUAUAUGGGGAGUUAGAGAGUGAGUGUGGAUGCUUACAUAAAAUGAUUUUAAGGACUUCCUUUUCAGAUCUUCUGUAUUUUGUUGUUGUUUUCAUUUCUGAGACUCCUCUUGGUCUACAGUCCAUUAACAUCUGAUUAGACAAGGUCAAAAGUCAGACAUUAAUCAUUUGGAUUUAGGACAUGUGUUUCUCAGAUACUCCUUCAUGCCUUCCCUUGCUGUUAGGGCUAUCAGAGUCUGUGUAUGUCUUGGGGAAAAUAUUUGUGAACAUAAAAAACUGAAUUUCAGCGUUGAAAUAUCAUGGUAAAUUUGACCUGGUCUAAUUAGUAGCAAGCUGAAACCAGGACCCAGAUUUCCUGCCUGUAGUCAGUGUUUUUUCCACUAUUAACACAUUACCUGUUCAUCCCCAGAUAGACGGCAAUAGUGUCAUACAAAGAUAAUUUCUUACUUGGCACAGAGGUUCACUUCAGUAUCUCCUAGGGUACAGUUACACACAAACCAGCUAAAACCCUGGUAUCUUUAUUAGGACUCAUUGACACAUCAAAACUGUUCACCCAGCAAAAUGGGAUCUUCAUAAUUUAGUGAUGAUACAUGAGCCUGAACAUCCAGGUUUCGUAGAGCUAUCUUCUUUAAAAUUUUGCUUUACUUGAUUAACAUUGUUGGGGAUGAUUUAGCUGCUGUUAGCAAGAAAAGGGACUUAAUGGCAGCACAGAACCCUCAAAAUUUUCUAGUUUGAAAGAACUUUACCUCAGGGUUAAUGAGAUUUCCAGAAUUCAAGGGUUAAAUUUGAAACUGAUACAUACAUUUUUUUAAAUUAAUGAUUUAGAUUAGUUAAGUUAAAUCUAGAUAUGGUAAUAAAAUAUUAGUUUUCCCUAAGUGUCAUUAUUUAGGACCCAGUCUUUGUUUGAGCUGUUUUGUUUAUAUAGUAUAAAAUAUUUUAUUGGCCAUUCAUAACUAAAACAACCUUCAAACAGAAACACAAAUUUAUCCAAGAUUUGUUUUCUCUCUUAAUUUUGUUUUCAAAAUACCAAAAGUGCUAAAAUCUGCAUGUUUAUUUUUUAAUCUAGAUGAACAAACAAACAAAAAAAACCUCAAAUAGUCUUUGAAUCUCAGUUGUUAAGGGUACUGAGUAGUUGUCUUUCUUUGAGUAAUUUCUUUUUUCUUUUUCUUUUUAUUUUGUUAAUGAAAUUGGGGUUAAGUGACUUGCCCAGG